rnacentral:rRNA from 1 species
UACGUAGGGGGCAAGCGUUGUCCGGAUUUAUUGGGCGUAAAGGGCGCGCAGGCGGCUACGCACGUCCGUUGUGAAAUCGCUCGGCUCAACUGGGCGGGGUCGGCGGAUACGGCGUAGCUGGAGCAAGCUAGGGGGCAAUGGAAUUCCCGGUGUAGUGGUGGAAUGCGUAGAUAUCGGGAGGAACACCAGUGGCGAAGGCGGUUGCCUGGAGCUUUGCUGACGCUGAGGCGCGAAAGCGUGGGGAGCAAACAGG